AGUAGUCUCUGGACGUGUGUAUGUCGGGACCAGGUGAUGGAGAUUCAAGUAAACCCCUAAUUGGAACCAUAUUUGGGAUUCCCUGAUGGUUGAAUCAGCAAGU